CCUACGGGCGGCUGCAGUGGGGAAUAUUGCACAAUGGAGGAAACUCUGAUGCAGCAACGCCGCGUGGAGGAUGACGCAUUUCGGUGUGUAAACUCCUUUUAUAUAGGAAGAUAAUGACGGUACUAUAUGAAUAAGCACCGGCUAACUCCGUGCCAGCAGCCGCGGUAAUACGGAGGGUGCAAGCGUUACUCGGAAUCACUGGGCGUAAAGCGCGCGCAGGCGGCUUUGUAAGUUGGAUGUGAAAUCCUAUGGCUCAACCAUAGAACUGCAUCCAAAACUACUUAGCUAGAGUCUGGGAGGGGAAGAUGGAAUUAGUGGUGUAGGGGUAAAAUCCGUAGAGAUCACUAGGAAUACCAAAAGCGAAGGCGAUCUUCUGGAACAGUACUGACGCUGAGGCGCGAAAGCGUGGGGAGCAAACAGGCUUAGAUACCCCGGUAGUC
rnacentral:rRNA from 1 species